rnacentral:rRNA from 1 species
ACGUGUAUCUGAAAUCAAGUGUGACGACCCGCUGAACUUAAGCAUAUCAAUAAGCGGAGGAAAAGAAAUCAAAUGAGAUUUCCCUAGUAGCUGCGAGUGAACUGGAAUCAAGCCUAUUGCCAAUUCUUAUGUUUUGUACAAUAAGAGAUGAGGUGUAAAGGUAUCUCGUGUUCAGCAGUGGCACGGCCUAAUUAUUAUUGAGUCAGUGCUCAAAGAAGGUGAAAAGCCUGUAUGGUUGCGCCGAUCUGUUGAACCGUGAUACUGGAGAGUCUAGUUGUUUGAGAGUACAACUUAAAGUUGGUGGUAAAUUUCAUCAAAGGCUAAAUAUACGAAGGGACUAAUAGCGAACAAGUACCAUGAGGGAAAGUUGAAAAGAACUCUGACGAGAGAGUUCAACAGUACGUGAAACCACAUUGAGUAAAACAGAUAACUGUGUUGUUAUGUGGUGUGCCUAUCAACAGUCACUUCGGCGUUGCCACGUUUUGGGUGUAGGCUGUCUAUUCAGCUGAAUGCCUAAAACUAGCAUAGUCGGAGGUGCUGUGCACUAGUGCGCACUCGAUCAUUGAGAAGCUAUGCCGCUGCUGCAUCGGUAUGUGUCAGUCCGCACUUAGUGUGUAGUCACAUGCUGGGUAAUUGCUAGCCUUGGCGUAGUUUAGCUGUGUGACAGCUGUGGGUUGCGUUUGUCGAUUGUAGCUGCUGUAUCUGCGAACUGGUUUAUUCCUUUUUGCGGUGAGUAUGUUGCAGGACGCAAGCAGCCCGCCAUCAAUGGUUAACAUUAGUUAUUUGACCCGUCUUGAAACACGGACCAAGGAGUUCAAAUGGCACGCGAGUCAUUGGGUUUAAUCACCCGAAGGCGAAGUGAAAUGCAAACGUAUUGUUAUUUGUGGUUGUUCCAUGAUUAAGCGAUAAGCUACUUAUGCUUUCUGGCAUUUGUAGACUACAAGCGUGAUGUUUGAGACCCGAAAGAUGGUGACCUAUGCCUAGUCAAGAUGAAGCCAGAGGAAACUCUGGUGGAUGUCUGAAGUUGUUCUGACGUGCAAAUCGAUAAUCUGAUCUGGGUAUAGGGGCGAAAGACUAAUCGAACCAUCUAGUAGCUGGUUCCUUCCGAAGUUUCCCUCAGGAUAGCAAGCGUACAUUUUUAGUUUCAUCCCGUAAAGCGAAUGAUUAGAGGUAUUGGGGCGUAUAUAGCCUCAACCUAUUCUCAAACUUUUAAUGGGUGUGAGUGUUCUUUCUCAAUUGAAGAACGCUGUUAAAUAAGUAUGCUUAGUGGGCCAUUUUUGGUAAGCAGAACUGGCGCUGUGGGUUGAACCAAUUGUUGAGUUAAAGUGCCUAAAGCUGGAAUGCGCAUGAGAUCUAUAAAGGGUGUUAGUUGCUGAAGACAGCAGGACGGUGGCCAUGGAAGUCGGAAUCCGCUAAGGAGUGUGUAACAACUCACCUGCCAAAGCAACUAGCCCCAAAAAUGGAUGGCGCUAUAGCAUUGUACUUAUACUCAACCUCUGAUGUGCAGCAUCGGUACACUCAGAGAGUAGGAAGGUAAUGUGAUAGCGUCGAAGGAUUUUGCUGUAAAGUAAUCUGGAGCUGUCACAUGUGCAGAUCUUGGUGGUAGUAGCAAGUACUCAAUUGAAAACCUUGAGCACUGAAGUUGGGGAUGGGUUCCAUGUGAACAGUAGUUGAUCGUGGGUCAGUCGGUCCUAAGCUUAUGAUGAAACAUGUGUUGAAUGUGUAUAAUAAUGUGUUAUCACUGUAAGCGAAAGGGAAUCAGGCUAACAUUCCUGAACCUGUACACCGGUGUGCUACUCUGUAGCAAUCGUGGCAACACAAGUGCGCUCAAAGACACCAAGGGAUAGGCUAGGAAGAGUUAUCUUUUCUUUUUAAGUCACUUGUACCCAUGGAAUGAAGUAGAUUUGAGAUAUGGGUAAGGGUGACAUAAAGCUGCUCAUUUUAGAGUAGUUUAGUUGACUCCCUUGGUCCUUGAAAAUUUGAGCGUGGUGUUAACCUUGGUGGCAGUCCGUACUAGUAUCCGCAGCAGGUCUCCAAGGUGCGUAGCCUUUAGUGUCUAGAUUAAUGUAGGUAAGGGAAGUCGGCAAAAUAGUUCUGUAACUUUGGGAGAAGGGAUGGCUCUGAAGGUUGAUCCAGUCAGGUUGACAGUAGAAGUAUUUAUGACAUUGUGUUGUCGCCGGAUGGGCUUCGUACCCGUCUGGAUGAUGACCGAAGUUGUGCUUAUGGACAUUGUUAGCUGAUUCGGUUUAUUCUGAUAUGACUGGAAAUUAUCAACUACUUCAGAACUGGUACGAACUGAGGGAAUCCGACUGUCUAAUUAAAACAAAGCAUUGUGAAGUCCAGUAAUUGGUUAUGACACAAUGUGAUUUCUGCCCAGUGCUCUGAAUGUCAAAGUGAAGAGAUUCUUUGAAGCGCGGGUAAACGGCGGGAGUAACUAUGAGUAUGUAUGUAUCCCUAGGGAUACAUAUAUAGCAUUGUAGUAGCCGCCGCUACCGCGGCCAUCUUGGAUAGCCGGCCAGUUGGUCACCACGUGGCCUCGUGGCGAGAGCGGCAUUCAAGAGGGAGUGUGUUGUGGGAGAAGUUGACGUGCACAUUGCACAUCGACAACGUGCAGGCGCGCACCCGGACCAACGUACGGGUGACGUCUGCCCCACAUUCAGGUACGAGAUAACGUACAGGGCGCGUAGGCCAACCUCACGUUCGCAAGCGGGUGUGCAUAUGAGCCGGCCAACGCGCACAGAGUGGUGACAUACAUAUAUAUAUUUAUAUAUGUAUGUAGCGCUCUGUGUUGUGAACCGGCCAUAGGUUAACAGCUGCGAACGAGUAACCGGCUUGCGUGUAGUAACAAGGGUGGCCUGUACUGAUCGUUGCUUGUUACACACAUCCCAUGAUCACUGUGCACUGGUAAUAUUAAUAUAUUGUGUGCUACCUAUAUCUCACUAGAUCAUAGGGGGGCGGCGCUGGUAUUCGUUAUACGUAUACUAUCCGCCCUGUAGAGCAAUCUACUAGCUAUACGAUAUAUUAAUUAGUGCUGCUACAUAUAUACACACACGACAACCAAACACUGUGUUGAUACAUUGUGACAGUGUACGGUUUGGCACCGUGUGGUCAGGCUAAUUAUACUUGGCUGUUCCAGAACACUGCCAAUUGACACACCUGCAAUC